UUGACCUCGGAUCAGGUAGGAGUACCCGCUGAACUUAAGCAUAUCAAUAAGCGGAGGAAAAGAAACCAACAGGGAUUGCCCCAGUAACGGCGAGUGAAGCGGCAAGAGCUCAAAUUUGAAAUCUGGCUCCUUCGGGAGUCCGAGUUGUAAUUUGGAGAGGAUGCUUCGGGUAUGGCCCCUGUCUAAGUGCCCUGAACGGGCCGUCGGAGAGGGUGAGAACCCCGUCUGGGACGGGAGGCCAGGCCCGUGUGAAGCUCCUUCGACGAGUC
rnacentral:rRNA from 1 species